rnacentral:rRNA from 1 species
AUUGAACGCUGGCGGCAGGCUUAACACAUGCAAGUCGAGCGGAGAGAGGUAGCUUGCUACUGAUCUUAGCGGCGGACGGGUGAGUAAUGCUUAGGAAUCUGCCUAUUAGUGGGGGACAACAUUUCGAAAGGAAUGCUAAUACCGCAUACGUCCUACGGGAGAAAGCAGGGGAUCUUCGGACCUUGCGCUAAUAGAUGAGCCUAAGUCGGAUUAGCUAGUUGGUGGGGUAAAGGCCUACCAAGGCGACGAUCUGUAGCGGGUCUGAGAGGAUGAUCCGCCACACUGGGACUGAGACACGGUCCAGACUCCUACGGGAGGCAGCAGUGGGGAAUAUUGGACAAUGGGCGAAAGCCUGAUCCAGCCAUGCCGCGUGUGUGAGGAAGGUCUUCGGAUUGUAAAGCACUUUAAGUUGGGAGGAAGGGCGUUUGGCUAAUAUCCAGGCGUUUUGACGUUACCAACAGAAUAAGCACCGGCUAACUUCGUGCCAGCCGCCGCCGUAAAAC